UACGAAGGGUGCAAGCGUUACUCGGAAUUACUGGGCGUAAAGGGUGCGUAGGUGGUCGUUUAAGUCCGUUGUGAAAUCCCUGGGCUCAACCUGGGAAUGGCAGUGGAUACUGGACGGCUAGAAUGCGGUAGAGGGUAGUGGAAUUCCCGGUGUAGCAGUGAAAUGCGUAGAGAUCGGGAGGAACACCAGUGGCGAAGGCGGCUACCUGGACCAGCACUGACACUGAGGCACGAAAGCGUGGGGAGCAAACAGG
rnacentral:rRNA from 1 species